CAUUAGAUGUCUGAAAGCAAGUACUGGUCUCUUAAACCAAUUAUAAUAGUUUCGCCCCUAUUUCUAAUG
rnacentral:tRNA from 1 species